GAUGAACGCUGGCGGCGUGCCUAAUACAUGCAAGUCGAGCGAACAGACGAGGAGCUUGCUCCUUUGACGUUAGCGGCGGACGGGUGAGUAACACGUGGAUAACCUACCUAUAAGACUGGGAUAACUUCGGGAAACCGGAGCUAAUACCGGAUAACAUGUUGAACCGCAUGGUUCAACAGUGAAAGACGGUCUUGCUGUCACUUAUAGAUGGAUCCGCGCCGCAUUAGCUAGUUGGUAAGGUAACGGCUUACCAAGGCAACGAUGCGUAGCCGACCUGAGAGGGUGAUCGGCCACACUGGAACUGAGACACGGUCCAGACUCCUACGGGAGGCAGCAGUAGGGAAUCUUCCGCAAUGGGCGAAAGCCUGACGGAGCAACGCCGCGUGAGUGAAGAAGGUCUUCGGAUCGUAAAACUCUGUUAUUAGGGAAGAACAAAUGUGUAAGUAACUAUGCACGUCUUGACGGUACCUAAUCAGAAAGCCGCGGCUAACUACGUG
rnacentral:rRNA from 1 species